GAUGAACGCUGGCGGCGUGCCUAAUACAUGCAAGUCGAGCGAACGGACGAGAAGCUUGCUUCUCUGAUGUUAGCGGCGGACGGGUGAGUAACACGUGGAUAACCUACCUAUAAGACUGGGAUAACUUCGGGAAACCGGAGCUAAUACCGGAUAAUAUUUUGAACCGCAUGGUUCAAAAGUGAAAGACGGUCUUGCUGUCACUUAUAGAUGGAUCCGCGCUGCAUUAGCUAGUUGGUAAGGUAACGGCUUACCAAGGCAACGAUGCAUAGCCGACCUGAGAGGGUGAUCGGCCACACUGGAACUGAGACACGGUCCAGACUCCUACGGGAGGCAGCAGUAGGGAAACUGCCGCAAUGGGCGAAAGCCUGACGGAGCAACGCCGCGUGAGUGAUGAAGGUCUUCGGAUCGUAAAACUCUGUUAUUAGGGAAGAACAUAUGUGUAAGUAACUGUGCACAUCUUGACGGUACCUAAUCAGAAAGCCACGGCUAACUACGUG
rnacentral:rRNA from 1 species